AGGAAUGUGCCUUGCAGAUUCAUGGGACAUACAGUAGAAGCAGAGGGAUUAUAUCAGAAUUACCUCUUAGUGUCCCAAGUGCUACAGGUGUCAUUCUAGCUCAUGGUAGGUAUUAUUUAUAAUGAAUUCAUCAAAAAGCAAAAAUCACUAUAAGAUAGAGCUGAUAAACAUUAAUUAUUUAUUAGUUGUAUUUUUUUCUAAUCUACCUUCCAGUAACUGCUAUUACUUUUAAAUUAAUAUUGUGUGUCUUUUGCCUCUUUAUUGUUUUGUUUGUUGAUUUUCAUGUUUCACAGUCAUCUGAUUUUCCACGUGAUAUUUACAGUUUAUUCAAAUUUUCUGUGACACCUCUGACCAAGGUGAGGCGAGGGUACUCUUUCCUGCAGUAAUUAUAUUUUAUCAAAUAUGCAUUUAAGAGGACAACCGCAUAACUGCAAAAAAAUUAUGCAUGAAUGGUCUUCUUAAAAUAGAUAUGUUUAGUAUUGGAAGGAACAACUACAAACAAUGUUUUUUGUGUUAUGCAGGUCAUGUAGCUGAUGCUUUACAGACGACCAAACCAGAUGUGUAUAUAACUACUGACGGUAGAUACAAUUGGAGAAAGGUCUGUCACACGCAUAGAUAUAAUAAGCAAAACUUACUUAAAGUAAAUGAAACUUUGAUUCAAUGGGUACAAACAAACCAAAGGCCCUUUAUAGCUUGCUGUUCUAUGUGAAUCAAGGCUUUGAGUUGAAGGCCGUACUUUGACCCAUAAUGGUUUAUUUUUUACUAAGUGUGACUUGGAUGGAUUGAUGUCUCAUUGGCACUCAUACCACAUCUUUGUUUAUCUAUAUAAAACCAUAAUACUUGGUAGGGGGAUUUGUAACGAAAAUAUUUGUGAGGGCAUUUGAUAAUAUAUGAGAUAUAUUGAAAUAGAAUGUAGUGGUAUGAUUGCCAAUGAAGCAAUUAUCCACCAGACACCAAAUGAUGAAGAAGGUAGGCAACUAUAGGUCACUGUACAGCCUUUCAAGAAUGAGCAAACCCAAAACUGCAAAGCAUGUAUUAUAAAUAUGUAAAUCAAUAAAAAAAAAAAAAAUAUGAUAUACAUUAACAAAUGAAAACCACUAAAGUACAUAUUCCUGACUUCAGACAGUCAUAUACAAAAUGUGUGGUUUAGACACGCAAAAGGGUCUUAUUUGCUGUUUUCAUUUUAUAAUUUAGUUUAUAAGCCAUUGCAAAUACCUGGCAGGGCUAAUUAAAAUGAGAAUGUGGAAAUAAUUUGUCAAUUUUACUAAAUAUUAUAUAUCUUGUAAAAACAGUUCACUGAAGGUUAUUAUCGUGUAAUUGUUCAUUGAUGAAAGCUUUUAAUAUGCUAAUUAUCCUUUAAUAUGUACCAAUGUAACAGGUAGAGUAUUCAUAUUGAUAAUAAUAAAGGGGCCUCAGUGAUCGAGUGGUCUAAGUAAGUACUUCUGUAAUCACUAGCCAGUCAACACAGAGGUUGUGAGUUGAAACCCUACUCGUGCGAGUGCACUCGACUCCAAUCUUAAUUCUUAAUUGACUAGGAUUGUCAGUUUUCCAAUCGAAGUCAGUGGUUUUCUCCAGGCACUUUGGAUUCCUCCACCUAUAAAAACUGCACAUUACGAAAUAGUCCAAACGUGGUGCUAUAAAAUGGUAUUAAAAACACAAAUCAGCAGUAUUCUUUAUGAUUCUCUUUGAGGCUUUAGAUGGUCCACAUCAUUAUCAUAUAGCAGACAGUGGUAGUUUACUAGUGGCAGUCCCAGCUGAUACAACUCAACCUAAACUUAUCAAAUUUCUACUGACGAGGGAAGGUGUUGGCAUACAUACGAUUUCAUUGACAAGGAGAGUAAUGAGACUAUCAUGUUUACUGGACUGUUAACAGAGCCUGGGUCCAAGGCCUUGACUGUCAGUAUAUGGGGUUAUAAACCAGACACAAGAAAGUGGACCACAUUUAUCAUUGAUUUCCAAAAAAUAUUCAAAAAGAAGUGUGGUAUGUAUCAUGAAUUUCUGAUGCCCAAAAUUAAGUUCUUUGUGACUUUUCUCAUUUCUAUUGGUGUAAAGUUUUCUUGGUCUCUAACCCCUAGGUGUUUUUUUUUAAAUGAUGUUUAGACGUACUUGAAAUCUUUAUUUCCUCCCAAGAUUAGUAAACAUGGUAAAUGAUUAAAUUAUAAAGAUAAGUUUCUAUACUAAUGGUAAGGUCAUUUUAAAAAAGGGAAAUGAGAUAAAAUGUUCUUGUGUCUUUUCUUGCUUAUUGAUUCACCAUACCCAUCAUAUAAAACCUAAAUUUACCAGAUAUGAUGUCAUUGUGGUUGUUAUCAACCCCUAAGUGUCCUUUAGUUUUUGUGUUGUUUGGUAGGAAUGUUUCAUUGAAAGGAGUAGGUCCAGUAAGACCCCUUUUUGGCCCCAAAAUAAAGCAGUUUUACAAAAUUGUUAAAAUGUAAACUUUUAGUUAUUUAUUGGAUAGUAGAAUUGUUCUGCUACAUAAAUAUAGGCUGUUUUUGACGUUUCAAUGCACAUAUAUUGGGUACUAGCACCAUUAAGUCAUGCUAAAUUACUGAAAUAUUCAAAAUUCCAGCAUUUUAGUUUAAUUUCAGACGGUUUCCGUGUAAAACGAAAGUUCAUCCAAAAUAUUGAAAUCUUUCAUAUAUAUUAUUUGAAUCAAAUGAAAUGGACACUACUCAUCAUUAAAAACGCUCCGAUUCAAGCUCAAAUACGAAAAAUCUACCAAAUAUGCGAAAAAAUGUCACUUUUCAGAUGGUUUUUGUCAAAAAUGAAAUUGGCCGCAUUUGUGUUCAUCCUCAAUCUUUAUAUAUGUUAUGUAUUAUUAUCAAAUACAACUUCCAUUUCAAUAUUUUGGAUGAACACGAAUGGGGCCACUUUCGUUUUACCUUUAACCAUGUAUCUUCUUUUAUCCUUACCGGACCUACUCCUUUAACCAUGUAUCUUCUUUUAUGCAUAUAUUUGGGGUUUUCAUUUGACUAUACAAUAAAGGUAAAAAAAACACUAAACUCAGGCAUGGUCAUAAAUAACAUACAAAAAAGUAGUACAUAUUUUAAACAAAAUAGUUUGAUACAUUUCUGCAACUUUGUCAAUAAGUAAAAUAUUUAGGUUGUUUAUGUAUUAAAUGAAAGUUUAAGUGCCGCAUGUGGAGCAGGAUCUGCUUACCCUUCCGGAGCACCUGAGAUCACCCCUAGUUUUUGGUGGGGUUCGUGUUGUUUAUUCUUUAGUUUUCUAUGUAGUGUCAUGUGUACUAUUGUUUUUCUGUUUGUCUUUUUUCAUUUUUAGCCAUGGCGUUGUCAGUUUGUUUUAGAUUUACGAGUUUGACUGUCCCUUUGGUGUCUUUCGUCCCUCUUUUAAGGACUUUAGAUCCCUGCAGAAGCCUUGUUUUCCUUUUGAAUUAUAAAAAAAAAUACAGGAAAUUUAAAUAGAAGGGCAUAUUUUUUGUAUGUACUUCCAAACUUCCAGGAUGGUGGGCUCUAAAAUGCAAGUAAGGGUAUGUUGAAUUUUUAUGCCCCAAAUUAGAUAGUAGAGGGGCAUUAUGUUUUCUGGUCUGUCCAUCCGUUCGUCCGUCUGUCUGUCUGUCCGUUGUCCGUCUGUCCCACUCCAGGUUAAAGUUUUUGGUCAAGGUAGUUUUUGAUGAAUGGACUUCAAACUUAGUACACAUGUUCCCUGUGAUAUGAUCUUUCUAAUUUUAAUGCCAAAUUAGAGUUUUUACCCCAAUUUCACGGUCCACUGCACAUGGAAAAUGAUAGUGCGAGUGGGGAAUUCGCGUACUGAGGACACAUUCUUGUUCUGCAUAAGUCUGGACAAGGUAUACUGUAGUUUCGACUUUAGAUGACUGUCUCUUUAUUUAAAUGAAAUAGCUAAGUAUGCUCAUAUUUGGCAAGAUAAUGUAUUAUUGUUCAUCCAGCUCCAGCACAGUUGAUGUUUUUUGUAUAACUUUCAACAUUACACUAUAGUUGAAAUAAUUUUAUUUCAACAGAUACUGCAACAGAUUAUGACACAUGGGUACCCCAUGAAACAAGUAAUGAAAAAGGAAAUAUACAAGGAUGUCUGCUGGGAAAUAAAGAAACGUUUAAAAAAGUAAAAAAAGACUCAUGGUAUGUUAAAAGUGUUGAGUGAAUUGAGAUUUUUUAUACAAUAGGAGUUUUUCUCCUGUUUUGUAGCAAGUACAAAUAAAUUUCAUAACUUAGUGGUAUCCUUAACUUAACCCGACAAUUGAAACUUUAUCAUUGUUUCUAAUAUCUCAAAGAAUUCAAUAUACAUUUAGUUGAAACACUGACAGCAAACAGGACCCCAAAAUGAACUGGUUAGGAAACAGAAAUAUUCAUAUCGUAUUCGGCCGUGUAUAGUACGCAUUUAUACAUAGUCCGCACCCCCUCUUCAUCCCCUUAAAAUCGAGAAAAAAAAGUUUUGUAAAAAAGUUUUUUUUUUUUGUUUUUUUUUUUAUAAAAGUGAAGUUCACUGUAAAAAUCCAAAUGUAUUUAAUAGAAAAAAAAAUGUGUUUUUUUUUUUUUUUUUAAAUAAUAAAAUGGUAGAGCUUUUCAUCAGGUAAUUCAUAUUUGAUAAUUUUAUAAAAGUAGUUAUCAUCAAAAGAUCUCUUUUAAAAUCAACAUUUGUCUAAGUUUGUCCAAGCUGAUAUAUAAUAUAACAGAAAUAAUUUGAAUAUUAUGGAACAAAAGAAAAAAGAGAUCAAACAUUUAUCUAAACUAAUUAGCAGUAAUCAAAAUUUUAAAACUAUUUAAUCUUAUAUAAUCUUUUCAUUGAUCAUGUUGUUUUUUUGCCUGGGAUUAUAAUAUCUAACACCUGUCAAAACUUGACAUCAUAAUUUAAUUGCUACACACCCAUACUUAAUCCUUAAUUACCCGUCUUAAUUACCUAUGCAGGAUGUCACACUUUCACUUUGAAUAAUCAAUUUUGAAGAGAAAAGUUAAAAAAGAAUAAGAUUUGAAUGAAAUAAAUAUCAUAAACGUCUCCAAUAUUCAUAAUUCAGGGAAAAAAAAAGAAAAAAAAAAGAUUUUUUUUUUUUAUGAAUUUCGAAAACCGUCUUUAGUUGUGUAUAGUCCACAUCCCUUGUACAAACUACAUAUUUAAGGAAAAAAAGUGCGGACUCUACAUGCCCAAAUACGGUUUAACGCUUUAUUGAAAUGAUUCAUUAUGUUCAAGUUGAAUAGUUAAUCAAUACAAAACUGUUAAAUAUGUCUGAAUUUUUGUCCUUUUGAAGGUGCUAUAAUGGUGCAGAUCACCCAUUGGAACAUACAGGAGAAGCAUGUACAUGUGUCAGGGAUGAUUAUGAAUGGUAAGAUAUGUAUAAUGGCUAGUGUUGUGAUAUAUUGAGUUAAUUGUCAUAAUAGAGAUGUCAGAGACAUAUAAUGCCAAAUUUUUAAAACUGCUAUAUUAAAUACAGAUAUAAUAUUAGACUGUAUAAUUAUAUUUUUAUCAAUCACCUCUUUAAAGAUUUUCUCCACUACAGCAUAUUUUCAAUCAACGCUUGAAAGUUUUUAUUUUUUUCCCGUUUUAAAUAAAGAUAUUAUGGACAAAAAAAGUAGAACAUCAUCCAAAAAUGAAAAUUAACAGAUGUCCCACAAAAAAGGAUGGUGUACUGACUUUUGAUGAAAUUUCUGUAAGUUCCUAAUCACUGGUAAUACUCAUUUCUGCACGUUAAAGACACUUGUAGAUUUUCAUAAGAGCAGUCCUAUGUGGCUACAAGGCAGCACUCUUAUCAGCAAAGUGGAAAAGGAUUAAUAUUAGUUGUAAUAAUUUUUUUCCCAAUCCACUAUACAUAAAAAUGAUUAAACUAAAAACAUAAUACAUGUGUUAUAUAAAUAUUUCAGUGAUUAUGGGUUUUACCGACCUGAUGGUAGGGAUGAUUGUGUAGAACAACCUAAUUUCAAUUUACCUAAGGUGGAUGUAUGUAAACAAGGUCACGAAGAACAAGUUAUAACACAGGGGUAGGUAUCAUUAUUUUAAAUCAAUUUAACUGGUCAUGAAGAACAAGUUAUAACACAGGGGUUGUAAUAAUUAUUUUAACUUAAUUUAACUGAAGUUGAUACACCUUAUCGCUAUUUGUCUGCCAUUACAAGACAUCACAAGUGGAAAGUGAUUGUUGUAUGAUGUCCAAAGUUCAAGCGGGACAGAUUAUCGGGUCAAGUGGAAAGAGCGAUAAGCUGAUUUAUGGAAGCAAGAGUCUCUCCCUCAUUGACAUAAAGGUACAUUUUAUCUGAAACUUAUAUCACAUAAGAAAUAAUAUUUAUUGUUUUUUAUAGCAAGUGAGAAUUUGUUAACGGCUCAAAUUUUUAAAUUUCAAUAUAAUAAUGACCAAUAUGUCCUAUUCCUCCUUAAACUUUAAACACACAUGUUUUUUGCCAUAGAUAGGGGCAUAUUUUCCAAAGUAAAAAGUUGUGAAGGAAGAAGACAGAUUACUCAAUACAUAAAAAAAGACUUUCCUGACUAUGGGUGCAAUCAACAGUAUUUUUCUAUGAUGUCAUGUUUUAAGGGACCAUGCAUAUGUGACCCUUACUGGUGGACUGAUUAAUAAAGAUACUUGUAUAAAACUAGAUAUCACUGGAAUCAGAAUGCUCUCUGGUUUAUAAUGAAAUAAAAAUAAUGUGUACUUUUAAUAUAUUAUAAAAAUUUCAUCCAAUGAACAUGGGGGGAAAAAAGGUAUAAUUUUAACAUAAAAAACUUGAAAUCAGGUCAAGUGCACACCCAUGUCAGACAUGAUCCAUGCACAUUUUGCAUAAUCAAAACUGUAUGAAUAUUGUAGGUUUUUACCUGGCCUUUCAAAAAAAUCUUGUUUCAGGGUUCGAUUUCCUGCUCCGAAAAGAGCUACAGUGGCUGCAAAUAAGUUUUCAAUUUUCACUGCUAAAAAAACAGACUGUUUACAGUGUUGUCUCCCCUAGAAACAUGUUUAUUUAAUAUAAUUUUUAAAAUUAUUUCAAUCAUUCAACCUGUUUUGAUUUAAAGCUAAUUAACUAAUUUUUACAAACAAAUACAAAAAACAUGAUACUUUUUCACCAAGUAAGUAAAUAAACAGGGGUUUUCCUCCAUAGUUAUUUUUAGACGGGGAAUAAUCCCUAGUUUUUAGUACGAAACUGUUUAUAGCACCCUAUGAGACAGGUAGCAUUGAUAUAUUGUUUACAGAAUUGUAAUACAAUGUAUUUUGUUUUUUCACAGAUAUAGAAAAAUACCAAAUGAUAAAUGUGUUGGAGGGUUUUCGCCAAGUGGAAAAAUGUUAAAUUUAGGUGAACAGUGUGCAUCAAAACAUGAGGGUCAGAUAGAUGUGGAGGAAGUACCACAAGAAACAAAGGUAGGGAUAUUUUAUCACUGUAUAUAUCAAGAUCUAUCAAGGAGUUGGUUUGUCAGUCUUUAUUUUUUCUUGGUUUUGGACAUUUUUGUUGUUGUAAUAUUUUAAACAGGAAAAUAACUCUUUUGCAAAUAUUUGGAAGAGAACAGUUAAGUGUAUCACUACUGCUAAAACCUGAUAAUGCAAUGCAGACAAUAAACAGACACUUUAAGCAUAAUGCAACAAAAAAACCAGUUAGAUAUUUAUAGAAUUAAUGAUCCAAUACAUUAUUAACAAGUGACCAAACAACACAUUGAUUCUUUAUCAAAAUAAAUGCCCCAAAAAAUGCUCUUUACUACAAGACUUUUAUUCCUACCAAGUAUUAUAGAUGACAACUCAUGUUGCUGUCAAAUAUGACUGCUAUAUUCCAUUUAGGGAUUUUAUCACUUUUUGAAAAAAUAUAAGAUUGAACAUGUGUAACAUAUAUGAGUUGAGUCAAACAGGCUUCGUCGAAACUCUUUUGUCUUUCUUUUGUGGGUUUUGUGAGUAAAUAGGAUAUUUAUAAAAUUUAUUAUAGCCCCGCUUUAAAAAAGUCGAGGGCAACGGUUUUAUCUCUGUCUGUCUGUCUGUCAGUCCAUUAGUAGGUCCAACCAUCCAUCAAUCUGUGCAUCCAAUGAAUAUUUUCGUCACAUUUUUCGCAGGAACUACACUACAAGGAUUUCUGAAAUUUGGUUUCAGGGUAUAUAUAAUUUAACUAUACCGUAGGGGUAUCAUCAGUUAACAGUAGCUCACAGUUUCACUUGUUUAACACAAAUAUUAUUUUUUUUCUUUCAGAAAACUAACAAUGCCAGUGCUAUAGUAGCUGUGUUUGUGAUUGUUGCUUUAAUAGUAACAAUUAUGGUUGGAUUUUUUGUUUAUAAAUAUAUCAUAUUACGUAAAC
rnacentral:lncRNA from 1 species